GUCAGCGAGAAAGCGUUGCCGCAGGCAACGACCCGAAGGGCGAAGCGCGCAGCGCUGAGUCAUCCUUCCCCCACCACCA
rnacentral:sRNA from 7 species